rnacentral:lncRNA from 1 species
UGGCUUGUGUGGCAGUCCUUUUAAGGUGGCAGUCUGCAUGUAAGAUACUUGAUAACUUCACUAUUUUGGCCCCCAGUGCGUUCCUUAUUUCACAGGAAAUGGACAGUUUGCUAGCCAUGCCGCUCCAAGCUUUCCCCUUUAUCAAGACGCAACUAGGAAGUGCCGUCGUGUCCAAUAGUGCUAUAGAAGACACUGCUUGCCGCUCCUGAGUACAGGGUCUGCAACCUUCACAGCGACAUGCCAACGCAAAUGAAGACCUUCACAGGAAACCACCACCAGACAUAACGCAGAGAUCAACAGAUCGUGGGCCGCUCAUCCCAAUGGACGCCAUUACAUACCCUUCUGCACGGAUACAGCCCCAGCACCCUUGGCUCAG